AUUUUUCUGUAGUGUAUUAGGUUGAGCAACAGUGGAAUUUGCUGCUGGGGGAGGUAGGCUUGGAAUAAGAACUGCUGGGUAGAAGUAAAGGCAAUGAGGAUGCUCUGCACUGUUGUCAUGAUUCAAUGGAAAUUUUUUAUUUUAUAAGCCAAGCUGGAAAGGUAAGAGAGUCUUGUGCUAUUGGAAAUGCUAAGUGCUUCUAGACAGCAUUUCAACACUCCAUUUCUGUCCACACAAUUCUUCCCUUACACCCCAGUUUCACUCCCAGGCAAUGCCAGUUUUGCAAACUAAAACUUUCCUCUCUGUAGGUGUUGCUGAAGCCAUUGUGUGGAACAAAGGCAAACUCAGAGGACUCUGCUAUGAUGGGAUUCAGCUCAACAUUCUUUCUGUGCCCAAAAACUGUAUAAAUCUUAGCUGGUCCAACCUGAGCUUGACAAUGUAUAAAGAAGCAGGAUGAAAGAACUGAAAUCAUUUCAGCAAAGUCAGUACCAGCCACCCCAGUGGGAAAUGCCAUCAAAGAGUCCCUUUUCGCCAGUGCUACGCUGCUGAACGCAGCUCAGGAAAUAAAGAAAUGUGGCCGAAUUCAGGACCUGCACCCAUUGACAUCACUGGGCCUGCUUGGUUGUAUCUUGUCAAUGGUUUCUUUCCAGCCCAGUCUCAUGAAUGUACGUACCUUGGACUCCUGCUUUUGCCAUGCCUCUGGCACUACCUGUUUUUUCUCCUAUGUGUGUUCCUUGGAUAGCUCAUGAACUCCAUGACUGGAGCUGUGGAGUUACUUAGCACCCAGCUUGCUUUCUCUUAUGGACGGCCUGACUCUUGUUGCUCCUUUGACGUAAGGGCAGAGCUGCCUACACUAGAGGAAUUUCCAUCAAGGAGAGAGCAAGGAAUAAAGACCAUCCUUGCUGUCUGCAGUGAAGAAGAGAUGUAUUCAGUAGUAUUCAUCCCAGAAGAUGAACAGAAGGAAAUCAUGGAACUACGUGUGGCUUUCUCACCUCUCAGUUCUCCCAACAGACCUCCUCAGAAAAUCAGUCUGUGGUGCUUAAAAUAGGAUGCUCC
rnacentral:lncRNA from 1 species